CUCUUUCAUAUUGAAUGGUUGCCUCAAAUCUGUUUACAGAUCUUUUUUUUUCCUCGUCUUUCAUCGCUUUUUAUUCAUUAGAAGCCUCCUGGAUUCCAGUUAUCGGAUGAUGUUGGGAGUUUGCUAGUUCCCUGUCUUGGAUGUGAAAGCAUAAAAAUUUCUGGUCUCUGUUAUGAUAUGGGCAUAGAGACUAGAGAGGUGUGUCAACUUGGAUAUGGAAUGAGGGAGCCGCAGAUUUUGAAGGCGCUCAAAGACCUUGUGAAAGCCGGAGGAGCUACAAAAGCCUAAGGUGGCGGUUGUUCAAAGACCUUGUUAAAUUCCAACUGCGUUUCUUUCCUUUGGAAAGGUGUGAUAGACUCUACCCAUGGACACAAGAUAGCUCGGGAUAUAGUUCCUGCUCCCAAAGGGGAAGGAGGACUAGGUUUACGAAAUAUACAAGUUUAAAAUAAUAUAUGUGAGCUGAAACUGGUUUGACAGAUAUUCUUUAAGAAUGAAUCA